rnacentral:rRNA from 1 species
CCUACGGGUGGCAGCAGUGGGGGAUAUUGCACAAUGGGGGGAACCCUGAUGCAGCGACGCCGCGUGGGUGAAGAAGCGCCUCGGCGCGUACAGCCCUGUCAGCAGGGAAGAAAAUGACGGUACCUGACUAAGAAGCUCCGGCUAAAUACGUGCCAGCAGCCGCGGUAAUACGUAUGGAGCAAGCGUUAUCCGGAUUUACUGGGUGUAAAGGGAGCGUAGGCGGCCCUGUAAGUCUGAUGUGAAAAUUUGGGGCUCAACCCCAAACGUGCAUUGGAAACUGCAGGGCUUGAGUGCCGGAGAGGCAGGCGGAAUUCCUAGUGUAGCGGUGAAAUGCGUAGAUAUUAGGAGGAACACCAGUGGCGAAGGCGGCCUGCUGGACGGUAACUGACGCUGAGGCUCGAAAGCGUGGGGAGCAAACAGGAUUAGAUACCCGUGUAGUC